rfam:Gossypium hirsutum cultivar TM-1 chromosome 20, whole genome shotgun sequence
AAACCAUGCAUUGGACAUUUUCUUAACAGCUCAUUGAAUCACUCCCAUGCUUCAUAUUAUGUUUCAUCAUCUGAUUUUCUAAAUGAUAUAAUGUCUUUCCUAAACCU